GUCAGGACUCUCACCUGACUUUCCAAGAAAUUGUAAGCAAGAAAUUUGAACUACAGGGAUAAAUAAUAAUACAACCUAAAUUUGACCUCAAAUGUGUUCUUCACAUAAGAUCAACUAAUACUAGAAACUAGAUACCAUAUAGACAAAUAAGAAAUGUACAAAAACUCAUUUGGCUUACACAGCAAUUAUUUGGUCGAUUGUUUGGCCGGUCUACCACCAACCGAUAUUGAAACUCGGUUCGGCCCUACGUCUGCCUGGCGUUCGGUUAUUUGCUUUUGUUUCUUUCGAGGGGCUUAUAAAUCUGUGUACUUUCGACACGGGCUCGAAUGUAGGUAUAAGAUGAAGUCAUUGAUAAUUUUUUAAAAGAUGUCAAUAAAAUCUAAUUUUUUUAAAAUAAA